rnacentral:rRNA from 1 species
UACGAAGGGGGCUAGCGUUGUUCGGAAUUACUGGGCGUAAAGGGCGCGUAGGCGGCGUGUCAAGUCAGGCGUGAAAGCCCCGGGCUCAACCUGGGAACCGCGCUUGAGACUGGCAUGCUCGAGUUCGGGAGAGGAUGGUGGAAUUCCCAGUGUAGAGGUGAAAUUCGUAGAUAUUGGGAAGAACACCGAUGGCGAAGGCAGCCAUCUGGACCGACACUGACGCUGAGGCGCGAAAGCGUGGGGAGCAAACAGGGG